GGCCUGAUGGUCUAGUAGUAUGAUUCGCCCUUAGGGACAGGCAGCAGCUUGCAACGUCUGGGCGAGGUCCCGGGUUCAAUUCCCGGUCAGGCCC